UACGUAGGGUGCAAGCGUUGUCCGGAAUUAUUGGGCGUAAAGAGCUCGUAGGCGGUUUGUCGCGUCGAAUGUGAAAAACCCGGGGCUCAACCCCGGGCCUGCAUUCGAUACGGGCAGACUAGAGUUCGGUAGGGGGAGUCUGGAAUUCCUGGUGUAGCGGUGAAAUGCGCAGAUAUCAGGAGGAACACCGGUGGCGAAGGCGGGACUCUGGGCCGAUACUGACGUGAGGAGCGAAAGCGUGGGGGAGCGAACAGG
rnacentral:rRNA from 1 species